CGAACUCGACCACGCCUGAUCUUUGAACGGAACUAGUUAGUUUCGUCUGUUCGCUUUGGCUGGAAAUGAUAACUGAAGCUACAAAAUAGGGAAAAUGCAAGCUAUGGAAAUGGUCCCCAUUGCGCUUGUCGAUCCUUGACAAAUACAUCACUCCCCUCCCUGCGUAGAUUCCUCUGAUUAGUCGAGAGCAAUGUGGAAAUGGGUGAGCACUAGCUAACUCUGAUGUUGACUUAUUUCUGUGGUCCCCACACGGAAUGGGAACUCUCAAGAUGUAAUCCCCCCUACCUGUUCGAGUCUUAUCGCCCAAGACCCUGACGACCUUUACGUCUUGUUUCCCAGAAAUGGACAUCUGUCCUAAUUAGUGUAAUACCUUUCAUCAGAGAUUGAUUUCAUCAGAGAUUGAUUUUUCUUUUUAUUUAGCGGGUUGAGUGGCAAUUCGAACGGG
rnacentral:lncRNA from 1 species